UUUUCAUUUCUGAUUCUUGAUUUAUUAUUGUUUUGAUUUGCAUAACUUUAUUCUUGAAUUCAUUUCAGAAGACUGUUCUAUUAAAUUAUGAUGAUUAUGAGUAUUGCAAUCAGCUUUUUGGUUUCCCCUUCCAUCCACCCACCACCACCAUCACAUCCAGACAAUCAGAUAAAUAUCGAAUCAAUAGAGAGGAGAAAAAAAAGAAUCUUAACGUUAAAAUCCUUUAACAAAAUUCAUGGUAAAUUGCUUCUGUGCAUUUGGGAAAAUUACGGCAACAGACAAACAACAACAACAACGACAACGAAGAAAAAAGCUUUGGUAUCAUCAUUCUUUUUUUUAUGGCAAAAUUUUCCAAAGAAGUUCUAAUUCAUUGAAGUGAAACGCACAGUAAAUUGUAAGCAAACAAGAAAUACGAUGAAUUUUCAUUCUGCCCAUCUCAAACGGAUGGAAAAUUUUCUUUCUCUCUCUCUCUCUCUCUUGGUGAUUUGAGCUGAAUAAAAUGAGAACUGCUGUUACUGAUGCUAGUCAUCAGGUGAAACGAUUUGAUAUGAAAAGAAAAUAUGAAUACAUACAAAUAUUAUUGUUACUAGAUGAAAAAAAA